rnacentral:rRNA from 1 species
UGGGGAAUAUUGCACAAUGGGCGCAAGCCUGAUGCAGCGACGCCGCGUGAGGGAUGACGGCCUUCGGGUUGUAAACCUCUUUCAGUAGGGACGAAGGGAAAGUGACGGUACCUGCAGAAGAAGCACCGGCCAACUACGUGCCAGCAGCCGCGGUAAUACGUAGGGUCCGAGCGUUUUCCGGAAUUAUUGGGCGUAAGGACUUGUUNGCCGUUUUGUCGCUUCGUUUGUGAAAACCCGGGGCUCAACCGGGGGCUUGCGGUGGGUACGGGCAGACUAGAGUGCGGUAGGGGAGACUGGAAUUCCUGGUGUAGCGGUGGAAUGCGCAGAUAUCAGGAGGAACACCGGUGGCGAAGGCGGGUCUCUGGGCCGUAACUGACGCUGA